rnacentral:rRNA from 1 species
AACGAACGCUGGCGGCAUGCCUAACACAUGCAAGUCGAACGAGAUCUUCGGGUCUAGUGGCGCACGGGUGCGUAACGCGUGGGAAUCUGCCCUUUGGUUCGGAAUAACAGUUGGAAACGACUGCUAAUACCGGAUGAUGACGAAAGCCCAAAGAUUUAUCGCCAGAGGAUGAGCCCGCGUAGGAUUAGCUAGUUGGUGUGGUAAGGGCGCACCAAGGUGACGAUCCUUAGCUGGUCUGAGAGGAUGAUCAGCCACACUGGGACUGAGACACGGCCCAGACUCCUACGGGAGGCAGCAGUGGGGAAUAUUGGACAAUGGGCGAAAGCCUGAUCCAGCAAUGCCGCGUGAGUGAUGAAGGCCUUAGGGUUGUAAAGCUCUUUUACCCGGGAUGAUAAUGACAGUACCGGGAGAAUAAGCUCCGGCUAACUCCGUGCCAGCAGCCGCCGUAA